UUCGAAUAACUUUUUAACCAAACACACUGGGUUUGUUGUUGUUUUGUAGUACUUUGUUCUGUCUAAUUGUUAAGGGGAAAAAACAUGGUAAAAGUGCAUAAUAGAACCAAACUUGUAUGGAUCACCUCCAGAAAUGGCAACAUAAUGGGAAGAUGCUUUGAUUUUGAUUUCUCGUGUUAAAAUAAACUCAAACGAGCGUCCCAUCACAAAAGUAAAACAGAACAAAAACAAUAUAUAUGUAUAUCAGUAUUCGGAGCUGAGCUCAUCUCAGAAAGGUGCACGAGUAUGUUUUGCGGCUAACCUGUUCGUCAAUAUGCCCCCGAGAAGACAAUCAUCUCGAAAGUGUAUGGUUGCAUUGGCUAAUUCCUCGAAUGUAAAUGUUUUUGCAACAACGUUACUAGAUCCUGCAAUAUUAACAGACUCCAUAAGGUAUAUUAUUGAGUUCUUAGCCUUAUGUCACAAAGUGAAAGGUAUGACUAUAACAGAAACCAAUGUAAUGGUUUUAACAUGUCAAGAGUAGAAAUCCUAACAAAAUGCCAACAAAAUGACAUAACUAUUUUCAGCAUUCAGCUUCUCAUUGGUCCAAUUGUUGGAAGAAAA
rnacentral:lncRNA from 1 species